rnacentral:rRNA from 1 species
GACGAACGCUGGCGGCGUGCUUAACACAUGCAAGUCGAACGGAAAGGCCCUGCUUUUGGGGGGUGCUCGAGUGGCGAACGGGUGAGUAACACGUGAGUAACCUGCCCUUGACUUUGGGAUAACUUCAGGAAACUGGGGCUAAUACCGGAUAGGAGCUUCUGCUGCAGGUUGGGGGUUGGAAAGUUUCGGCGGUUGGGGAUGGUCGCGCCGCUGAUCAGCUUGUUGGUGGGGGAGUGGCUUACCAAGGCUUUGACGGGUAGCCGGCCUGAGAGGGUGACCGGCCACAUUGGGACUGAGAUACGGCCCCGACUCCUACGGGAGGCAGCAGUGGGGAAUAGUGCACAAUGGGCGGAAGCCUGAUGCAGCAACGCCGCGUGCGGGAUGACGGCCUUCGGGUUGUAAACCGCUUUCGCCUGUGACGAAGCGUGAGUGACGGUAAUGGGUAAAGAAGCACCGGCUAACUACGUG